AGCAGUGUAGCUUAGUGGUAAGGAGCAGGGCUCGUAACCAAAAGAUUGCUGGUUCGAUUCCUCACUGGGGCACUGCUG